UACGUAGGGUGCGAGCGUUAAUCGGAAUUACUGGGCGUAAAGCGUGCGCAGGCGGUUUGUUAAGACAGAUGUGAAAUCCCCGGCUUAACCUGGGAACUGCAUUUGUGACUGGCGGGCUAGAGUAUGGCAGAGGGGGGUAGAAUUCCACGUGUAGCAGUGAAAUGCGUAGAGAUGUGGAGGAAUACCGAUGGCGAAGGCAGCCCCCUGGGCCAAUACUGACGCUCAUGCACGAAAGCGUGGGGAGCAAACAGG
rnacentral:rRNA from 1 species